AGGGUGUAAACGCUGCAGACUUGGUGUUGGAAGCCCUUUGGGGGCAUUCAGUGCCGGAGAGAAGUUGUUAAGUCUGCUACUUGGGGAGUACGUCCGCAAGGAUGAAACUUAAAGGAAUUGGCGGGGGAGCACCGCAACGGGAGGAGCGUGCGGUUUAAUUGGAUUCAACACCGUAAAACUCACCAGGGAAGACUGUUACAUGAAGGCCGAGAUGAAGACUCUGCUAGAUUUUCAGAGAGGAGGUGCAUGGCCGUCAGUGACU
rnacentral:rRNA from 1 species